GACGUAGGGCGCGAGCGUUGUCCGGAUUUAUUGGGCGUAAAGAGCUCGUAGGCGGCUUGUCGCGUCGUCUGUGAAAUCCCGCGGCUCAACCGCGGGUCUGCAGUCGAUACGGGCAGGCUAGAGUUCGGUAGGGGAGACUGGAAUUCCUGGUGUAGCGGUGAAAUGCGCAGAUAUCAGGAAGAACACCAAUGGCGGAAAGCAGCUCUCUGGGACGGUACUGACGCUGAGACGCGAAAGCGUGGGGAGCGAACAGG
rnacentral:rRNA from 1 species